CCUACGGGAGGCAGCAGUGGGGGAUAUUGCACAAUGGGGGAAACCCUGAUGCAGCGACGCCGCGUGGGCGAAGAAGUAUUUCUGUAUUUAAAGCCCUAUCAGCAGGGAAGUAAAAAUGACGAUACCUGAGUAAGAAGCACCGGCUAAAUACGUGCCAGCAGCCGCGGUAAUACGUAUGGUGCAAGCGGUAUCCGGGUUUACUGGGUGAAAAGGGAGCGCAGGGGGCACGGAGAGCGUGAGGUGAAGGCCCGCGGCCAAAUCGCGGAACUGCAUUGGGAACUACCGGCCUGGAGUGACGGUGAGGAAGGGGGAAGUCCUGGUGUAGCGGUGAAAUGUGUAGAUAUUAGGAGGACAACCAGUGGCGAAGGAGGCCUACUGGACGGUGACUGAGGCUGAGGAUCGAAAGCGUGGGGAGCAAACAGGAUUAGAUACCCGGUAGUC
rnacentral:rRNA from 1 species